rnacentral:rRNA from 1 species
AGUGAACGCUGGCGGUAGGCCUAACACAUGCAAGUCGAACGGCAGCACAGUAAGAACUUGCUCUUACGGGUGGCGAGUGGCGGACGGGUGAGGAAUACAUCGGAAUCUACUUUUUCGUGGGGGAUAACGUAGGGAAACUUACGCUAAUACCGCAUACGACCUACGGGUGAAAGCAGGGGAUCUUCGGACCUUGCGCGAUUGAAUGAGCCGAUGUCGGAUUAGCUAGUUGGCGGGGUAAAGGCCCACCAAGGCGACGAUCCGUAGCUGGUCUGAGAGGAUGAUCAGCCACACUGGAACUGAGACACGGCCCAGACUCCUACGGGAGGCAGCAGUGGGGAAUAUUGGACAAUGGGCGCAAGCCUGAUCCAGCCAUACCGCGUGGGUGAAGAAGGCCUUCGGGUUGUAAAGCCCUUUUGUUGGGAAAGAAAAGCAGCAGGUUAAUACCCCGCUGUUCUGACGGUACCCAAAGAAUAAGCACCGGCUAACUUCGUG